UACGUAGGUGGCAAGCGUUGUCCGGAAUUACUGGGUGUAAAGGGAGCGCAGGCGGGGAGACAAGUCAGCUGUGAAAACUAUGGGCUUAACCCAUAAACUGCAGUUGAAACUGUUUUUCUUGAGUGGAGUAGAGGUAGGCGGAAUUCCGAGUGUAGCGGUGAAAUGCGUAGAUAUUCGGAGGAACACCAGUGGCGAAGGCGGCCUACUGGGCUCUAACUGACGCUGAGGCUCGAAAGUGUGGGGAGCAAACAGG
rnacentral:rRNA from 2 species